UACGUAGGGGGCGAGCGUUGUCCGGAUUUAUUGGGCGUAAAGAGCUCGUAGGCGGCUGUUCGAGUCGGGUGUGAAAUCCUGAGGCUUAACCUUGGGUCUGCAUUCGAUACUGGGCGGCUUGAGUCUGGUAGGGGGAUCUGGAAUUCCUGGUGUAGCGGUGAAAUGCGCAGAUAUCAGGAGGAACACCAAUGGCGAAGGCAGCUCGCUGGGACGUGACUGACGCUGAGACGCGAAAGCGUGGGGAGCAAACAGG
rnacentral:rRNA from 1 species